UUCUCUGAUGGCCUAGUGGGUUGAAACUCCUGCGUUCUCGAUGCUGUGGCUCUGGUUGCUGCUGUGUAGUGUAGGUUCGAUCCCUGGACCAGGAAUGUCCACAAACUGCCUGUGUGGGAAAAAAGAAAAAAAAAAAAUACAAAAAAAACCAGGGAAUUCCUUUCAUGGCUCUGUGGUUAACAAACCUAACUACGAACCAUGAGGAUGUGGGUUCGAUUCCUGGCCUCGCUUGGUGGGUUAAGGAUCCGGUGUUGCUGUGGCUGUGGUGUAGGCCGGCAGCUACAGCUCUGAUUCACCCCCUAGCCUGGGAAUCUCCAUGUGCUGCGAAUGUGGCCCUAAAAAAAAAAGAAAGAAAGAAAAAGAAAGAAAGAGAAAGAGAGAGACUGAACCUGAAAUAAAUGUUGCAACUCUCAUUUAAAAAAAAAAAAAAAAGUCCAGAGCAUAUGUCAGAAUCAAUGGCAUUCUCGAAAGCUCUAUCUUGAGGUGAACUGUUAAAACUCAGGUCACAUUUUCUCAUAGUGUCUGACCAAAAUCAGUCAAGUGAAGACAUCUGCCAAGACAUAGCCUGGUUUAAAAAGGUGACUGUGCGCCAAGUGCUCCAAACCAGACACGAACCCGCCGGGCACGCCCUGGAUUUCAGUGAAGUGAGCAAGCUGCGUGCGAAGAGCAUUCUUGCCGCCACGUGUGUUUAAUGUAAAGCCGACAUCCUGUCCAUCAAACAGGAGACCAGAAGCAUUGUCCGCCUCUGCUCAGAAGUCAGAGGGCUUUGCAGGAUGACUUUGAUGACCCAGACUCUAAAGAAGAUGCCCGGGGAGAUGGAACUUUUUCCCUUCAGUAAAAUUCCCCAGAACAAAUAGUUCCCCUGACCCGAGACACGACUUGAGUACCUUCUUGAGUUGAAAGCUGUUUGAAAAUAAAAGUCAUGGCAUCUGAUUGUUUGACGGCUUCACUGAAGAUUUUAAAUGUGAGUGUCUGGGGAGGGGGCGUCUCUUUAAACUCUCUUCUUUCCUUCUUACAACAGAAUCGGAAUGGAGGGGGCCCUUUGGGCACAGCGUCCCCCAGAGGCUCUGAGAUGGCUCCGGACACUGUGGAGGCAGGAGGAUGUCCAUCUUUGUUUCUUUUAAUCAAGCUUCAGGAGGGAGAUUGCGGGUUUUUUUGUUUUGUUUUUUUUUGUCUUUUUGCUAUUUCUUGGGCCACUCCUGCAGCAUAUGGAGGUUCCCAGGCUAGGGGUCGAAUUGGAGCUGUAGCCACCGGCCUACGCCAGAGCCACAGCAACUCGGGAUCCGAGCCGCGUCUGCAACCUACACCACAGCUCACGGCAACAUUGGAUCGUUAACCCACUGAGCAAGGGCAGGGACCGAACCCGCAACCUCAUGGUUCCUAGUCGGAUUCGUCAACCGCUGCGCCACGACGGGAACUCCGAGAUUGCGUUUUGGGCAAUGUGUACGGUUGUUAACGGCCACACCAUGACCUUGGCUGAGCAUAAACAAAGUGCUCAGCAUCUGGUUUUUACUCCUAUUUCCUAGGGCGCCUGUGCGUCCUCGCCCUGCUUGCUCUCACUGCAAAAAUCAGUGACUGCAGGACUGAACCCCGAAAGGAGGUGAGAUCAGCGGGGCAGUGGAGGCAGGCACACAAAGCCUUGGGGACCCUGUCAUGACAUUCCUGUUACAUAGUUAUUCAGUCAACAAAUUGUUUUUGAGGGCUAAUUAAGUCCCAAACAUUGCUCUAGGUGCUGGGGAUAUAGCAGUGGACAAAGGGAAAAAUUAAAAAAAAAAAAACCUCUGUCUUGUAGCAUAUGCCAUUAGGGAGUAAGAGGCAUAAACUAACAAAAUAUAUAGUAUGUUAGAUGGCGAGAAGGGCUAAGGAAAAAACAAACAGAAAAGGGGAAAGGAGGGUAGACAAUAUAUCACCCAACGACAGGGUUUUAGGCGACUUUGAAAUUCUUACCUUACUUCUGUAUCAAACCAGAGGGUACUCACAGCUGCCGGCUGAGAAGGGGCUCAUGGCAACUUCCCUUCCCUUCCCUCGGGACCUUAAUCUGUCUUCUUCCCCUGCUGACACUGAGCUGGGGGCCUGGGGACCUGCCCUUGCUCUCUAAUCCAUCCUCUUCUGCUGGGCUCCUUCAGGAUCGGCUCCUCAGCUGGUCACAUCCCUGUCGUCCCGUCCUCUAUCCCUGGCCCAGAACGGGACUGGCUUUUUUUCUCCAAGACUGGGCCACCUGCUAAAAACCAUGAGGCCCUGGGGAAAUUAAUCAGACUCUCUGAACCUUAGUUUUCUCACCUGUAGAGUGGGCGUGGUCAGAGUGCACCUGUCCCAGAUGGUGACUAUGGGAAUCCCACCAGGUGACAGAAAGAAAUAGACUGGCUUCAGGGGCUUGCACUUAGUGGGGGCUGAAUCAGUAGGAGCUGUUCAUGGAGAAGGGACUGAGCUUACGGCAGCAAUGCAGAGGCCAGCGCAGUGUGCGGGUGCACCCUGGCUUUGUCUUCCGCACGCCCUCCCCAGCCUCCUCUGGACCUUCCCUGUCCUACCCUAACCCCUGACAUGCUGUCAUUCUCGGCUCCCCUUUCAUCAUGGAGCUUAGCUCGGUGGAAUCUUUGCCUCUGGCCACUUGAUGAGAAAAACUCUUCAAUUGAUCUGCUCUCAGCCUCCCACUCUCAUCGCCUGAAGAGCAAUCUCUGUUCAAAGGGUACGAUGCCUUCCUUGUCAGUCAAGACUCCGGAAGAUUGGGGUAUCAGAGCCCUUUCUCUGUUGUGAAUGCACUCAUUGCCAGGGUCGUCCUGUGCACAGAGGAGCUCACCUCUGCAUGAUCUCUUCUCCUGGCUGGGAUCAAAGUCCCUCUGUCAUCUCCCAGCGUGGAAGCCUGGCCUCGCUACAAUUUAUGCCCUGCCUCUUCCUAGUCUUCCAUUAUCACAAGACAUUCAGAUAAGGGGGUAACCUCCAACCACUCUCCUCUUCCUUUCGACUUCUUUUUUUCCCUAGAGCUCCCUGAGUUUUAACCAAGUUGGACAUGCUCCUCUGUCAGGAUUCUUAGGCAGAAAUCUUGAGCCUGCAGUCUCAUGAGCAGUGGCUCAACUUCCAGUGAAACAAUAAAUGAAGAACACAGUUUUUCGGGUCAAAACUCACUGAACAGGAUCUCCCGUCGUGGCGCAGAGGAAAUGAAUCGGACUAGGGACCAUGAGGUUUUGGGUUCGAUCCCUGGCCUCCCUCAGUGGGUUAAGGAACUAGCGUUGCCGUGAGCUGUGGUGUAGGUCUCAGACGCAGCUCGGAUCUGGCGUUGCUGUGGCGGUGGUGUAGGCUGGCAGCCACAGCUCCAAUUAGACCCCAUAGCCUGGGAAACUCCAUAUGCCGUGG
rnacentral:lncRNA from 1 species